CACGGAGUGCUUGCCGAGUGUUGAACCCGCCUUGCGUCCCGGGGAUAAAUGCCACCUGGUCACGAUCUGAUCAGUCACACGGAGUGUUUGCCGAGUGUUGAACCAGUCUUGCGUCCCGGGGAUAAAUGCCACCUGGUCACGGUCCCUGCAGCAAGAAAAGGAAAUCGUCCUUAGGACUAGAAGUCUAAGUGAGUCCUAAAGUAUUGGAAGAAAAUUCUAAAAUAUACAUUGAGGUUCUACCAGGAAAAGAUUGAGUUUAAACAAAAGAGCCUGAGCUAAUUCUUCCAGAAGGUUUGUUACCUUGAAUUCAGAGCCCUUUUACGAGUAUAUUAGAAAAAUAAGUACUCCCACAGUGUCAGUCGAUUCAUGUAUUAAUGAGAUGAGAGCUAACAUUAAUGAAACUAACUCUAAAGUAGUUGACUGCCAAGCUGAUUGUUAAAUUGGUUAUUAUGGAAACAGGAGAACCAACUCACACACUUAGAAAUGAGGUCCCAGACUGGAAGCACUGGGAAAUGUAGCUGCUCAUAAUCUAAGUUAAAUAAUUCCUUGACAAUCUGAGUAGAUCUAUAUCAACGUGGCUGUCUUAUAUGUAAUUUAGGGUGUUUAGUAGGAAAUUAUCGAAUGGACUUCAUGAUUCCCUAGAGCUUAUUUUUGAGAGGUGCUAGUGAAUCAGGAGGGGAAAAAAUGAAUGCUCAAAAAAGUCCUAUUUCCAUCUUACACAUUUGGGGAAACUGUAAGAAUAUGUCCAAAGAAUCUUGGUCUUCAAUAGUUUUAUAUACAGUAAUAACUAACAGCAUAAAAUAGCACUUAUUUAGAUAGAAUUGAUGGUAGACAUGGCAGUACUACAUCCUUUUUUACAAUGUCUGAGCGUUUGUAGUACUUCAGACCUUUCCAUCAGGCAUCAACAUUAAAUAUUGAAUACCUCUAGAGAGUGUGAAAAUAAUUUUGUCUUUGGAAGUAGUUAACGUGAAGUUUUUCCGUGUGUCCCAUUGGACUUUUCUAGUGAUGAUCCUCCUAGGAUGCUUUAUCAGUAGGUGUCUGGAUUUUAUGGACUAAAAAACUGAUAUUUUUUUUUACAGUUGAAAUCUGUAAAUCAUCUUUAUACUUAAUUUUCUAUGUCCUUUCAUAGCAAAAAGUAAGCAAAAUAUGCCAAGACAAACCUUGAGCAUAACCGUUGAGGAACAAGAACUGUCGGAGAUCUAUGUGUGUGUAUCUGUAGGUACAUCCAUGCAUACAUGGCAAGAUUUAACAGAAAUCAUAAUCCCGACAUCAUCUGUGGUUAAUGUCACAGCUCUUUUCUGUCGUCAGCCUCUGUUUUUCUCUUUGGGCGUUUGUUGAAAAAUACUCGGCCUCAUGUCUUUAGCUCUGAGCCUUUAACUGUAAUCCUUGAAUUCUUAAUUUCAGUUCAGAAACCCUAGUCUUAGAACUCAUGAGUCUCCAGAUUUCCAUGACUGUCACCAAAAGUUGAAAAUCCUAUAGGUUUGCCCGUUUUUUUCUUUUUUAAACUAAAGACUUCAAAGAAAGAAAAGAAAAAAAAAAUGCUUCUUUCUGUCUUGACAAACAUGAGGAAGAAACUGCAAUCAGGAAUACAGGUGGAAGCAACUCCUUCCGUAGCCUCCCCUUGUACCUUUAAAAGAGCUUUGUCAUGUGGUUAAUGAUGGAGAAAGUUGACAACAUGCAUUGUAUAUGUCUGCUGUCCGCAGAGUGUAUUGUGUGACCAUAUUUUUUUCCCAGUCAUUGAAAGGAUUCUCCCAGUGUGAUACUCUUAAUUUAAAAAGUGUUUUUUUUCUCCUUUAAAAUAGUCAUCAUUUGGAACUGGAGGGU